rnacentral:rRNA from 1 species
ACGCUCGACACCUACGGGAGGUAGCAGUGGGGAAUAUUGGGCAAUGGGCGAAAGCCUGACCCAGCAACGCCGCGUGAGGGAAGAAGGUUUUCGGAUUGUAAACCUCUGUCCUUGGUGACGAAGGAAGUGACGGUAGCCAAGGAGGAAGCCCCGGCUAACUACGUGCCACAGCCGCGGUAAUCUGAGCGGGCUGGCAAGGC